rnacentral:rRNA from 1 species
UACGUAGGGUGCAAGCGUGUCCGGAAUUAUUGGGCGUAAAGAGCUCGUAGGCGGUUCGUCGCGUCGGCCGUGAAAACCUGAGGCUCAACCUCAGGCCUGCAGUCGAUACGGGCGGACUUGAGUACUGCAGGGGGAGCUGGAAUUCCUGGUGUAGCGGUGAAAUGCGCAGAUAUCAGGAGGAACACCGGUGGCGAAGGCGGGUCUCUGGGCAGUAACUGACGCUGAGGAGGCGAAAGCGUGGGGAGCGAACAGG